AGUAACGCGUGAGUAACCUGCCCAUCAGUGGGGAAUAACGACUGGAAACGGUCGCUAAUACCGCAUAACAUAUCGUGAUGGCAUCAUCGUGAUAUCAAAGGAGCAAUUCGCUGAAGGAUGGACUCGCGUCC
rnacentral:rRNA from 1 species